rnacentral:ncRNA from 1 species
ACAAUAGUGUGGAAUGGGAAAAGUACUUUUUGGAAGGUUUUUAGAGAGCAAAGUAUUGGUGGAAGCUUUGCAACCGGAAUUUAAGGAAAAUCACCCAGGAGCUGGAGACUGAAAUUAUAGUAGGUUUUUUCGUAAUUCUGCGUUAAAGAAUAGGGCAUUAAAUAGUGCUUGAAAACUAGACCAUAGGUGGUAUAUAAGCGAAUGUAACUUCGUCCUAUUU